AGAUCUUAACGCACGACACAGUCAUCAAGCGCACGGGUGCUUGGCCGUCUUGCCGCCCUCGGUUCGCCCUUGCCGUCGCGUCUGCGCCGACGCCCCUCCGCGAGCACCCGCACGGCCGCACCUCUGCCUCCUCCCGCCGUCCUGCGCCGGCGCCCCUCCGCCUGCACCCGCGCAGGCGCGCAGCCACCUCGAUCCGGCCCCGGCGUCCCUGCGCCACCACCCGCGCCGGAUCUGCCUCCACCCGCGCGGCCGCGCCGGAUUCGCCUCCUCCCGCGCCCUCCGCCUCUGCACACCAUCCCUGGCCUCCCCUUUCCCCCACCCCCCCACCCACCCCAUUGCGCGGCGGCGCUGCUCCUCCUCUCGAGGUCCGCCACCUCCUCGGCGCCGCUGAUGUAUUCAUCUCCGGAGAUGAGCGUCUAUAACAUCAGGAUCAAACAAAGGCUACUGGACUGCACAUAUUGCGGCCAACCCCUCCGGCCUGACACUUUGGGUGGCAAAGCGUGGAAGUGCGCUGGCGUCCACAUCUUCUGUCGUGCCUGCGUCAGCCGCCACGAACAGGCAUGUAUCUCCUACUGCUCUUCGCUGGACCAAAUCAUCAGUAAGAUGAAGUUUAAAUGCAAUUGCUGCAACUCUGAAUACAUCCCCUACCACGAGAUCAAGGGACACAUGUGCGACAUCAACAUCCUUGUCCAUCACGAGUUUUUCGCCGUUCGUGACUAUGGAGAGUGCAUCAUCGACACAAGGGCCCUUGUGUGUUCUGAAUGCCGGCUUCCUCUCCGACCUCCCAUUUUCAGGCAUCUCCUUAAAUACAUGCACGUUUGUAGCAUCUGCUACCAUCGUGGUGAUAUCGCCAACUACCGUCACUGCCACGAGCUCGACUACCUGGUCGAAGGUAUCUUGGUGGAAUGUGAGGCUUGCAAAGAAUACCUUCCAUUCUCUACCUUGGCUUCGCACCAGCUGGACGAUUGCUCAUUCAGGCAGACAUUGCCAAAGAUUGCCCCAGGCAUGCCUCCCAUGUUUAACCUCUGGAUCAGCCAGGGGCUACUGGACUGCACAUACUGCCACCGAGCCCUCCUGCCUGACAGUUACGGUGGCAGAGCAUUUACGUGUGCUGGCAGCCACAUCUUUUGCCGUGACUGUGACACCCGCCAUCAAAAGGCAUGUAUCUCCCGCUGUGGUUUGAUGGACGACAUCAUCAUUCAGAUGAAGUUCAAAAGCAACUGCUGCGACUCUGGACGAAAAUACACGCCUUACUGCGAGUUUGCUGGACACCUGUGCACUACCCGUGCUGUGGAACAGCAGCUCAAGUCUGUUCGUGCCUGGAAAGAGUGUAUCCUCGACACAAGUGCCCUUGUGUGUUCUGAAUGCCGGCUUCCUCUCCGACCUCCCAUUUUCAGGCAUCUCCUUGGUAACAUGCCCGUUUGUAGCGCCUGUUACCACCGUGGUGAUAUCGCCAACUACUGUCACUGCCACGAGCUUGACUACCUCGUCGAUGGUAUCUUGGUGGAAUGUGAGGCUUGCAAAGAAUACCUUCCAUUCCCCACCUUGGCUUCGCACCAGUUGGAGAAUUGCUCAUUCAAGCAGACGUUGCUAAAGAUUGGCCCAGGCUCAAGGGCCCGAAAAAACGUGUGUGAUGAAGAGAAAACCGAAAGUCCUUCGGUGGGCAGCAAUAGUAUCCAUGGGAAAAACGAGCGAAUGCCUCCACUCGAGGUUGGUAAAAUGGACAAGCACAUUGUUCACAGUGAUGAGUCUGGGAAUGAUGAUGACUCAUGUGAUGAUAACCAUGGCACGUGUGAGCAUGUGUUCAGUUGUGAAGAUUAUUCUAUUGACAAAAUGGAUGAAGGGAAGGAAGUUGAAAAUCCUGAGACUGUGAAAAGAGUGACCGAGAAUGCCUUCAAGACACCUUGUGAGAAAGCAGAGAUUGCAAUGCCAAAUGGGCAGAAAACAGUAUUAAAUGUGCUGGGCAAUUUGGAGGUGUCUGCGCUCUUUUGCAUUGUAUCCUUAUUCCCCAGCUUGCAAAGUAGAGGCCAACUCACAGAUAUGAGAAUAUCAGACUUUAUCCUCAUUUCAGAUGAGGAGAAAAUUGAGAGACUUUCAACGUGCUGCAGUUGUAUCCAUGGAAAAAACAAGCAAAAAGCUCCUUAUGGGGUUGGUAAAAUGGACAAGUAUAUUGUUCAUGGUGACGAGGUUGGGAAUGAUGACUCAUCCGAUGACAACCAUAUCUAAAGUGGUAUGUGGACUACAGUUUGAUGAUGUGCCACCGGUGGGGCACAAUGGGGCUACAGGCCACUCGUAUGCUCAGCAUGAGUAACCCAUAUAUAGUAUUAUUCAAUAAGCUCAGCACUAAUCUGGCAUUAGCCAUGGGCCAAUCAAAUUGCUAUCGCUGAUGCUUACUACGUACCGGAUCCACAUGCCGGCCCACUUCAACACUAUGAAAUCACUAUUGCUACCUACUUAUGUGCAUCUCACUAUUUUGUUGAUCAACGAGUGCUAACAUCAUCCUGUUGUGUUUAAAUCAGUACAGUAUUAUUAUUCUUAUAUUAAUGUUACCAUUGUCAAUGAUGUGGUAUAACUGCAUAAUUAUAGUAUACGACUAUCAGAGAACUGUAGUAUACUACUGGAUGUUCUUUUUUUUUAGGCCUUCUCUUUGGAAAUUUCUAAAAAUGUGUUUGGUAGUUGUCCCUUUCUCUAUAUGCAUCUUCAACACCAGCUGAUUCACGUGCAUCUUGUGUACCCUAGCCUCUGUAGCACCUUUGUUUCUUUGUCAAGGGUUUCUUGGCUUUGGCGUGCACAUGCAUGUGGUGUAGAAAGAAUAUUGACAAUGUUUCCCAUAGUUGAGGCUAUUGCCAAAAUACAGCUCCACAUCUGACUCGUGUUUGUUUGUUUGUUCAUUGUAGGCUGAGAGUGGCAUGAGAGUGGCUGAAAACGCCUUUAAGACAUCUGCAUGUAAUAUGAAAGUAAAGAUUGCAACGCCAUAUGGGCAGAAAACAGCACCUACCGCAGCCCAGGCUGGCACGUCGAGAUGUCGACACCUACCCAUCACGGCUCCGUCGAAGCCACCUCUACCUCGUUGCCCAGGCACCCGUCUAUUCCAAGCAGCCCACAACAGGAAUAGGGGUGAUAAAAUGGCCGCCCUUGCGACUGAUAGCUCAACCUACAAAGCAGGCCAGCAACGGACCAAACGUGAAGAUCCUAAUAUCCAACAGGAGAAAAAACGGCGCUCUUGUGAACAAUCGUAAAUCCUAUGAGGCUACUGUGCUUAGCUUGUGCUUAGCUUGUAACAUGGACUAGUACAAUGCCUGUGCGUUGCUACGGCUAGUUGUGUUAUUUUCUUUCAUUUUUCAUUGCAGUCAAUGUUUAUAACUUUUUAACUAGUUGUGUUAUUUUCUUUAACUUUUCAUUGCAGUCAAUGUUUAUAACUUUUUAACGUAAACUUAGCAAUUA